CCUAACACAUGCAAGUCGAACGGUAACAGGAAGAAGCUUGCUUCUUUGCUGACGAGUGGCGGACGGGUGAGUAAUGUCUGGGAAACUGCCUGAUGGAGGGGGAUAACUACUGGAAACGGUAGCUAAUACCGCAUAACGUCGCAAGACCAAAGAGGGGGACCUUCGGGCCUCUUGCCAUCGGAUGUGCCCAGAUGGGAUUAGCUAGUAGGUGGGGUAACGGCUCACCUAGGCGACGAUCCCUAGCUGGUCUGAGAGGAUGACCAGCCACACUGGAACUGAGACACGGUCCAGACUCCUACGGGAGGCAGCAGUGGGGAAUAUUGCACAAUGGGCGCAAGCCUGAUGCAGCCAUGCCGCGUGUAUGAAGAAGGCCUUCGGGUUGUAAAGUACUUUCAGCGGGGAGGAAGGGAGUAAAGUUAAUACCUUUGCUCAUUGACGUUACCCGCAGAAGAAGCACCGGCUAACUCCGUGCCAGCAGC
rnacentral:rRNA from 1 species